rnacentral:rRNA from 1 species
UACGUAGGGACCAAGCGUUGUUCGGAUUUACUGGGCGUAAAGGGCGCGUAGGCGGCAAUUCAAGUCAUCUGUGAAAUCUCCGGGCUUAACCCGGAACGGUCAGGUGAUACUGUUUUGCUAGAGUGCGGAAGGGGCAAUCGGAAUUCUCGGUGUAGCGGUGAAAUGCGUAGAUAUCGAGAGGAACACCAGUGGCGAAGGCGAUCACCUGGGGUUGUUCUGACGCUGAGGAGCGAAAGCUAGGGGAGCAAACGGG